UGGGUUGUCUUCUUCCUUCAUCCACAUUGCCGUAGGUCAUCCAUGUUCAAAGAAGAAGAAAUUUUGCUUUUCUUUCUCCCACCAAAACCAAGCCAAAACCUCACCAAAUCAAUUUCUUCCUUCAACCAAAAUUCAUCCUAAGACCUAGAUCUAAAGGAAGAGCCAUAUAUUGAAGGGAUUGAAGAAGAAAAGUUUAGGGUUCCAUAUACACCAAGCUUGAAAAUCAAAGGUAAGCUUAGAAAUGUGUAGGAAAUAACAUCUUCUCAUUUCUUUAUGCAUGGAUUUGAAUUAUAAAGCUUUAAUUUAUAGUUUAUUCAAUCCUUUCCUAAGACAUAAAUUGACCUAGGUGAAGGAACAUCAAAGGGAAAGGAGAUAGCUAGAGAUUAGAAGAGGAAAAGAAAGGAGAAAUUCAAGAAAGGUUUGGUGUUUGUAUGAUUUCCUGUUUUCUUUUGAUUUUUGCCAUGAACAAGUGAGAUUAGAGGUUGAUUUUACUUGCUGGAAAUGUUGCUUUGGUUGUAUAAAUAUGUUAUAUGAAUGUUUAAAUGAUGUUUUAAAGGCUUAGAGUAAAGAAAUUUAACAUGAGAGCUAAAAGUGCAAAUCUGGCAGAAUAGGUUCUAACAGGACAGUCAGUGUUGGAAGCCUUCUAACUUAUUGUGUAUUUAUUGAAAUUAGUCAUAAGAUAUACCAAAUGAAAGCUGAGACAAAGAGCUAAAACUUUCAUGAAUUGACCAAAUUCGAAAUCUGUAGAGAAGAUGAUGAAAAUUUUAAGUGAACCUAAACUGGACACAGAGUUAGUGCAUCCGGAACAGUGUGUAUUGAUUAUACCAUAACUAACUAUGUACUCAGUGGAAUUGGUUAAUACCAGUGCCAAUUGAAUUUUAAGAAGUAUACCUAACACUUUGUAGGAGACACUUAAGCUUGAAUAUGUAUGAAAAUGCAUGAAUUUGAUAUGUUUUGUGAUAUUAUAAACAAAUGCCAAUAUUGGACUGGUUAAGAUCUUAUUGAGCAGCUUGUAAAGAAAAAUUCAUAACUUAAGCUAGAAUGAUCAGAUUUGCAUGAAUUAUACCUUGUUGGAAAGAUAAGACAUAGAGGUACAUUUGUUAUGAAGAAACUGAAGUCAGAUUGUGACUUUAAGCUGCUUGAAAAGUUUAUGCAAUAUAUGGCAGAAUGCAAUUUCCUAUAUUGGAAUGCAAAGUCAAUAAAGUUUUGCACCAUUUGCUAUGAAUUUCUCAUCUUGUUGACUUUGACAUAUGAUAUAUAUGUACUUUGGAAAUGAAUUCAAAUAGCUUCAAAUGAUAUGCAAUUACAUUGAGUUAAUGAUACUUGGCCCUGGUAAACGUAAUAGGAAUCGAGGUUAGCUUAAGGGUAUGGCAUGCCAUAUAAACAUACAGAGUUCGCAGUACUGCUACCGAUACAUGAUUUUUAUUUGAGGUUACAUAUCAGGUACCUCAUAAGCACGGUCACAGAGCCCUGCUAUCACAGUUCUGGCCUCUGAGCCUACCGUUCGGCACUCUGUGCCUACCGUUAUAACUCCUUAUCUACCUAGUCGAUCCUACUAUGUGUUUAUAAGGGCUAAGAUCUUAAUUAAGAUUGAUACUUGAUUUUGUGAACUUAUUAGUGAGUGUUAAUAUGUUUGCAUCUCUUAUAUGCACUAAGCUGUGGUAAUUUGUUAUAAAUAGAAAAUGUGCAAUAACGGAAAAAGAAGAUGUUUUUAUUCCGAUUAUCUGUAUACGUGAACUUGUUUGCUCUAUUUCGUUAUUUGUUUGUUAUCACCCACUGAGCAUUAGCUCAGCGUGUUGGUUUUUACCUCACGCAGGUUGUAGAUAAAAUAGAGGCAACAGAAGUUAUCAGAGAUCUACAUCAGAUAUCAAGGCCAUCAUCAUAGCUGGUUGUUUUGAGUCUCUGAGUCAUAGUGCAGCUAUAUUUUGGCAUGUACAUAUUUAAUAGAAUGAGUUGUAAAGGUUAUGUAAUCAACGAAUAGUAAGAUAUCAAAUGACAGUUGUUAGUGAAUUAUAAGUGUGAUUUUUAUAUGUAUU
rnacentral:lncRNA from 1 species